rnacentral:tRNA from 2 species
GCCCUUGUGGCGGAAUCGGUAGACGCGUUGGACUUAAAAUCCAAUCGGGGUUCACCCUCGGUGCCAGUUCAAGUCUGGCCAAGGGCA